rnacentral:lncRNA from 1 species
AUGCUGCUCCUGGCUGGGCUCCCUGGAAGGACACUGAACCUAAUCCAACACUCUGUCUUGUCCAGGAACACUGAUGGACCCCACUCUGGUAAUGUUGUUUGGAUGUUGGGAGCCUGCUCUAGUUGGAGCUGCCCUAACAGCCUUGUUUCCCACUGGUCCCAUUGGAGCCUAAUCCCAGCUCUGCUGCUGCUCUGUGGUCAGUCAGGACCCAGUUCUCCGGAUGGCUGUGUGUGGCUGGUGGCAGGUGUCAUGGAUUGCCAAGGAAGACAGGCAGCCUAG